UACUGAUGGCUCCGUGUCCCAUUUGGGGUCCCAUUUGGGGUCAUUUGGGCCGUUUUGGGGCCAUGUUGGGGUCGUAUUCCCUCUGAUCCUAUUGCAGGUUCCAUCCUCACUUGGGCCCCAUUUUUGGGGUCUUUUUGCGUCGUUUUGGGGUCUCUUUUCCCCCAGACCCCAUUGAGGUCUCCACCCCCAUUGUGACCCCAUUUUGGGGUGAUUUGGGGCCGUUUUGGGGUUUCUGACGCCUCUUUUCCCCCGCAGGCUGUAUGGGUUCAAGAUCCACCCCAUGGCGUACCAGCUGCAGCUGGCCCCAUUUGGGGGUCAUUUUGGGGCCAUUAUGGGGCCGUUUUGGGGUCGCAUCCCCCCAGGCCCCACUGAGGGAUCCCAUUGGGGGUUCCACCCCAUUUCGGGUCCCGUUUUGGGGUGAUUUGGGGUCGUUUUGGGGCCGUUUUGGGGUCGUGUUCCCUCUUGAUCCUAUUGCAGGUUCCAUCCUCACUUGGGGCCCCAUUUUGGGGUCUUUUUGCGUCGUUUUGGGGUCUCUUUUCCCCCAGACCCCAUUGAGGUCUCCACCCCCAUUGUGACCCCAUUUUGGGGUGAUUUGGGGUCGUUUUGGGGUUUCUGAUGCCUCUUUUCCCCCACAGGCUGUAUGGGUUCAAGAUCCACCCCAUGGCGUACCAGCUGCAGCUGGUCCCAUUUCGGGGUCAUUUUGGGGCCAUUAUGGGGCCGUUUUGGGGUCGCAUCCACCCAGACCCCACUGAGGGAUCCCAUUGGGGGUUCCACCCCAAUUGCGGCUCCAUUUUGGGGUCAUUUGGGGCCGUUUUGGGGUCGUGUUCCCUCUUGAUCCUAUUGCAGGUUCCAUCCUCACUUGGGGUCCCAUUUUGGGGUGAUUUGGGGUCGUUUUGGGGUUUCUGACGCCUCUUUUCCCCCACAGGCUGUAUGGGUUCAAGAUCCACCCCAUGGCGUACCAGCUGCAGCUGCAGGCCGCCAGCAACUUCAAGAGCCCCGUGAAGACCAUCCGCUGAUGGGGGGAUUUAUGGGGGGGUUUAUGGGGUUUGGGG
ensembl:lncRNA